GUACUCACUAUAGCAGCACACAUGCUAAAAUUGGAAUGAUACAGAGAUUAGCAUGGCCCUUGUGCAAGGAAAGCAUGAAAAUUCAUGAAGCGUUUCAUGUAAAA